rnacentral:rRNA from 1 species
AGAGAGAGACAUGCGCGCAUAUCAAUAAGCGGAGGAAAAGAAACUAACAAGGAUUCCCUUAGUAACAGGCGAGUGAAGCGGGAAGAGCUCAAAUUUGAAAUCUUCAAGGUUUUACCUUGACGAAUUGUAGUUUAAAGAAGUGUUUUCUGCUGAAGUUUUGGUAAAAGUUCUUUGGAAUAGGACAUCAUAGAGGGUGAGAAUCCCGUAUUUGACCAUUAUUUUCAGCUUUGUGAUACACUUUCAAAGAGUCGGAUUGUUUGGGAAUGCAGUCCAAAAUGGGUGGUAAAUUUCAUCUAAAGCUAAAUAUUGGCGAGAGACCGAUAGCGAACAAGUACCGUGAGGGAAAGAUGAAAGGAACUUUGAAAAGAGAGUUAAACAGUACGUGAAAUUGUCAAAAGGGAAGCGUUUGACACCAGUGUUGUUUUCUCGAAAAUCAAUUAAAAAUGGCUCGAUUUUGUAUUGCUUGAGACCUUAAAAGCUCACUGUACAUUUUUCGUGUCUUUUUUAAUGCACUUUUCGUUUAACAAGUCAACAUCAGUUUCUUUUGUUGUAAAGGGUCAUUGGAAGGUGGCUUUCUUUUCGGAGAAAGUGUUUAUAGCCUUUGGCCUCUGCAAUCGGAGAGACUGAGGUCUGCAGCGUAGACUCUUCGGGGUUAGAUACAUUUGUGCUAAGUUAUAGCUUUUUAUAGACAACUUGUUGACUAUAAUUAGUCUUGUAGCUUACUCGCUUAUGCUAUUUUACCUACGCUUAGGAUGUUGAGUCGUAGAGCACGCAG